rnacentral:lncRNA from 1 species
GGCGUGGGGAGCACGAACGGCGCGGGGGACUCCGGCGGCGCCGGGUUCCCGCGAUUCCUGCUUGCGGCUCAGCGAAGCAGCCUCCGGCGGUGACGAACACAGCGACAGCGUCCGGGAGAUGCGGCGGGUCUCCCCGGGGACCGGAGUCCUGGCCUCUUUCUCAGAUACUUCUCUCCCCAGCAACCAUAGUGACAUUUUAAAAUCGUAAGUAAUAUCAUGUCAUAGCUUUCUCUCCACCGAUAAUUCCCCACUAACAUCCGUAUCACAAUAAAAGUCAAACUGUCUGCCCUGGUGUACAAAGCCCCUACAUCAUCUGGGUCCUCUCUAUUUCUCCAAUAUCAGUUUCUUUUGGUCUUCCCUUUUUACACCCCAACCGCACUGGUUUCCUUUUUUUUCCCUAACACACCAAGCAUGAUUGAGCCUCUGUUUAUGCUGUUUCUGGGCUGAAAACUCUCCC